rnacentral:rRNA from 1 species
GACGAACGCUGGCGGCGUGCCUAACACAUGCAAGUCGAGCGAAUGAAGUUCCUUCGGGAACGGAUUUAGCGGCGGACGGGUGAGUAACACGUGGGCAACCUGCCUCAUAGAGAGGAAUAGCCUUCCGAAAGGGAGAUUAAUACCGCAUAAGAUUGUAGUACCGCAUGGUACAGCAAUUAAAGGAGCAAUCCGCUAUGAGAUGGGCCCGCGGCGCAUUAGCUAGUUGGUGAGGUAACGGCUCACCAAGGCGACGAUGCGUAGCCGACCUGAGAGGGUGAUCGGCCACAUUGGGACUGAGACACGGCCCAGACUCCUACGGGAGGCAGCAGUGGGGAAUAUUGCACAAUGGGGAAAACCCUGAUGCAGCAACGCCGCGUGAGUGAUGACGGCCUUCGGGUUGUAAAGCUCUGUCUUCAGGGACGAUAAUGACGGUACCUGAGGAGGAAGCCACGGCUAACUACGUGCCAGCAGCCGCGGUAA